rnacentral:rRNA from 1 species
UUGGAGGGCAAGUCUGGUGCCAGCAGCCGCGGUAAUUCCAGCUCCAAUAGCGUAUAUUAAAGUUGUUGCAGUUAAAAAGCUCGUAGUUGAAUUUCGAGACCGGUUUACUGGUCGUGCUUUUGUACGUACUGGUAUAAUCGGUUUCUCUCUUCUGACGAACUAUAAUGCCAUUAAUUUGGUGUUAUGGGAAAUCAGGACUGUUACUUUGAAAAAAUUAGAGUGUUUAAAGCAGGCUCACGCUUGAAUACAUUAGCAUGGAAUAACGGAAUAGGACGUUUGAUUCUAUUUUGUUGGUUUCUAGGAUCGACGUAAUGAUUAAUAGGGAUAGUUGGGGGCAUUAGUAUUCAAUUGUCAGAGGUGAAAUUCUUGGAUUUAUUGAAGACUAACUACUGCGAAAGCAUUUGCCAAGGAUGUUUUCAUUAAUCAAGAACGAAAGUUAGGGGAUCGAAGACGAUCAGAUACCGUCGUAGUCUUAACCAUAAACUAUGCCGACUAGGGAUCGGAUGAUGUUAAUUUUUUAAUGACUCAUUCGGCGCCUUACGGGAAAC